CAGUCGCCGCGGUAAUACGAAGGGGGCUAGCGUUGCUCGGAAUGACUGGGCGUAAAGGGCGCGUAGGCGGAUUGUUUAGUUAGGCAUGAAAUUCCUGGGCUUAACCUGGGGACUGCGCUUAAUACAGGCAGUCUAGAGUGAGGAAGAGGGUUGUGGAAUUCCCAGUGUAGAGGUGAAAUUCGUAGAUAUUGGGAAGAACACCGGUGGCGAAGGCGGCAACCUGGUCCUUGACUGACGCUGAGGCGCGAAAGCGUGGGGAGCAAACAGGAUUAGAUACCCCUGUAGUCCCUGUCUCUUAUAC
rnacentral:rRNA from 1 species